UCUAUUAAUGUAGUAAGAUUGACUGCUGUCGACAUGUGCACUAAAUGAGAAAGUGUGAUAUUUGUUUACCUGUCUGACAAUUAAUUACAGUGACAUUUUUUUCUGGGCUCUGGAAUCUUCAAAUUUAGUGCAAGAAGACUAACAGAACAGACCUUUUUACUGUUAUCGGAUAGAUCCAUAACUACCGCUCAGCAACCAGACAUGGAAAUGACAUUUGAAUCUUUUGCGCUUCACCGAGCUGUGAUAAGGAUAAUGACAGGAGCAGAAUUUGGUUAUGACGCAUUCUUUCGCGAUGUCCAGGUACAAUAAACAACAACAACAACAAAAAAACAAUGAAAAAUAUUUUGAAGAGGUGCCAAUAGCCGAAACAUUAAUAGAGUGGUCUUUGAAGUGGUCAAUGAUGUAAUGAAACAUAGCGGUUCAAAACACGUUUUCCUUUACAUUAAAUGUAGCGACUUUCAGGUUCCCCGUAAUAUUCUAAACAACCACAAACGGUAAAUGCGUAUUUGAUAUACAGUUAAAGGGAAGUAAAUGAAAUAAGAUGUUACAUACUCUCUCUGUACAUCUGUUUACACUGUCCUAUAACUUUGGAACAUGAAGCUGAUUAAGAGUGAGGCAGGGUGCACUAGAGACUGGUUCUAAUCUAUACCAGCCAUGCUAAACUAACUGUAAUGUGACAACAAUGAUACAGGUGCAAAAAAGCUGAAAAGUUAAAAGAAAAUGUAAUCUAGAUGUAAUACAAUGACAUUUGUGUGGUGAUGGUAUUAACGGUUAAAGGGAAGUAAGUAAAAUUUGAAUAAUGGUACUCUCUGUGUAUACUGGUUUUUCUCUCGAAACCUCGAUAAAAAUGAC
rnacentral:lncRNA from 1 species